rnacentral:tRNA from 1 species
GGUUGCGUAGUUCAGUGUAGAGCGCCCGGGGUUUCUUCUCCCUAGAAAAAUUCCGCUUUCGCAGACCUAGAACCUAGAUCAUUCUCUCUUCCCCGGGAGGUCGGUGGUUCGAUUCCACCCGCAGCCA